UACGAAGGGGGCUAGCGUUGCUCGGAAUCACUGGGCGUAAAGGGUGCGUAGGCGGGUCUUUAAGUCAGGGGUGAAAUCCUGGAGCUCAACUCCAGAACUGCCUUCGAUACUGACGAUCUCGAGUCCGGGAGAGGUGAGUGGAACUGCGAGUGUAGAGGUGAAAUUCGUAGAUAUUCGCAAGAACACCAGUGGCGAAGGCGGCUCACUGGCCCGGUACUGACGCUGAGGUGCGAAAGCGUGGGGAGCAAACAGGG
rnacentral:rRNA from 1 species